rnacentral:lncRNA from 1 species
UCGAGUCCGGAGUUGAAUCUCGAGCUGAGUCCCGAGCGGGCGAGCGGACUGACGCGACCCGGGCGGCCGUCUAGUGGGCUCACCAUGCCGAUGCACUUCAUCUUCUCAGAUGAGGCUGUGCUUCUCUUUGAUUUCUGGAGAGUCCACAGCCCUACAGGCAUGGCUCUCUCAGUGCUGGUAGUCUUGCUCCUGGCUGUAUUGUAUGAGGGCAUCAAGGUUGGCAAAGCCAAGUUGCUCCACAAGACUCUGGAGAGCCUGCCUACUACCACCAGCCAGCAGCUCAUCUUGGAACCAGACCAGGAUUCUACAGGCUCCAGAUCAACUUCAGACAAUAGGACCCGCCUCAGGUACAAACCCUAGGUGGAAAGAUGGCCAGAGCAUUCACCCUCACCAUGAGAGGUGGUUGAGUUCAUCUGGAGAACGUUAGCCCUAUGCACAGAAAGAUAAUUUGGACUAAAUAAGGAAGUAUUUAGUAAGAGGAACUAGAUUCUGGAUCUAUGGUGUCUGGGCCAAGGCUGUCUAUCAAAGCCUCCUGGGAGGACCCUAAGGAUCUCUGCAGGGAACCUCAGACCUGUACUGCAGGCCUCUGUCAAACAGCAGGCAUGGGCACCCAGCCUUCCCAUGGGUCUUGCCAGGUUCCCAAACCUAGAUCUGUAGAUGUACCUAAAGCCAGAGCUGCCAUCAGCCUGGUGACCCAGUUGGUAGGAGAGGGAAGCAUCCUUCUUGGGCUCUGCUCCCACUCUGAUUAGGCAACCAUUUACAGGCCCCCGUCUGCCCUCUCUGCAGCCUCACGGAUGCUUAACAAGCCUGCCUGCUACAUGGCCAGCAACCUUACCUGGAUGCCUCAUGCCCUCAUAACCACCCUGUGAGGGACUUCCUUCAGUGUUUUACUUAAGAAAACCAGCACUCAAAAAGGUCCAGAGACUUGUGGUAGGCCAGACUUAACAGGCACCAAAGUCCCUGUUCUUUUCAUUGCUAUCCCACUUCCUACAUUCAAUUCAGGGGAGAGACACUGCCUUCUGGGUAAGUUCCUCCCUCAUCAGACAAAGCUGACUGCAUAAACCACAGUGGUUUCCCCAUUUGCCUAGGAUAGCAGCAAGCUCAGAGCUAAACGUGGAGAUAUCUCUUUGGAGAGAAGUCUCUGCCAAUGGUAUGCUGUGACUUGGGCCUUCUCUCCCUAGUAAAGCACAUCUGCUCCUUCCUAUUUGUCUAAUUUGUUUCUCUUUCUUGUCUAGGUGGUUUUUGUGUUACUUUGGCCAGUCGCUAGUCCAUGUCAUUCAGGUGGUAAUUGGCUACUUUGUGAUGCUGGCUGUCAUGUCCUACAACACCUGGAUUUUCCUUGGUGUGGUCCUGGGCUCGGCUGUGGGCUACUACCUAGCCUACCCACUUCUCCACAUGACUUAGUGGGCCAGACAUGUGCAGUGCUGAGGGCUGGAGAGCUGGGGCCUCUGUUCCAGGCGUUGUACUUCAGCCGCCUUUCCUUAGGAUGGCACUGCUCACCUCUUCCCCAGUUCCUGGUGACUGAGAUGAAGCCAGCAAAGCCCUGGAGCUUAGAAGCCAUGGAAGCUACUUCCCUCCCCAGCCUAUAUAGGGCCCAGGCCUCCUGUGGUUCCUUACACAAGUCGCUGUGACCAAAGGGAACAUGGAGCGACCAGAAGCUGGAGGUAGGGUGGCCAGCCUGUGACACAGAUCUCUGACUACAAAUUAAAGUUUUCCAAAGAGCUUCAGUGAUAAAGGCCAUGGAACCUGGACCUCUCUUCUGCUUUGUGCCUUAAUGUCAGGGCCCGUCUCCAGUCUUUGGGGGAUGGACCAUGCCAGCUCCUUGUUCUCACCUCUUUGCCUUGGAACACAUGAGGAUUGUCAUUGACAGACUUUACAUUUUCAACUCCUGGUUGGCAGUUUUGCACAUUCAUACAAGACAAAAUCUCUAAUGAAUUUGCAUUCAAGAUGGAUGCAGGGUCUGUUGAGACUUGUCUUCCCUUCUCCAGGGAGGACGGACGCUGAUUAAAGGCAGAGAGCCAGGACUGUCACAGAGGCUGUAGACUCGUCUUCUGUGCAGAUGAGCUCUUCCUGUCUGACAGCACUGCCUGUGGCAGGUUAGUGGUCAGGGCCCAGCCUGAGCCUCUUGUAUGCACCACAGAGAACAGCAUUUGGUAACAGAGAUGACCACCCUGUAUUUUUACUUCCUGCUAACUCCUAAUGAUCUGGUAGGAAAUGUGGGUCAGUUACUUAGUACUGACUCAACAGGGGUGUGCUGGGGGCUGGGUACUGACUGGGGGUGCAAUAAUAGUCAAACCAAAGCUAGGUCGUGUCAGGGGUUAAGUGGACUUCAGAUAUUUGAGCCUUUUCACUUUACAGAGAAAAGAGACAGGAAUGGGGCAUAGACCUGUAAUCUCCAGUAUCUGGGAGGUGGAGGCAGGCGAUUGUAACUUUGAGGCCAGAGAGAGUUCCAGGUCAGCCUGAGAUACACAGUGAAACAUACACACACACAUACACACGACAAUCACUGCUACAUACUGUAUAAUGUCUACGUUCAAGUACCUCAUGGGCUCAAUGAAAAGACGGUUUUAAGAAGCUUUGGGAAUUAAAAACAAACACACCUUAAUAAAUUUCUAUUUUUGAAC